rnacentral:misc_RNA from 1 species
AAGACUAUAGACCUGCGGAGUACCUGCGGAAGGAUCAUUAUCGAGUUUUGACUGGGUUGUAGCUGGCCUUCCGAGGCAUGUGCACGCCCUGCUCAUCCACUCUACACCUGUGCACUUACUGUGGGUUUCAGACGGCGUAGCGAGCCUUUACGGGUUCGUGAAAGCGUCUGUGCCCGCGUUUAUUACAAACUCUUACAAGUAAAAGAAUGUGUAUUGCGAUAUAACGCAUCUAUAUACAAC